UCACACAGUAUAAAAUGAUUUGUGCUUGAGAUGAGCGGAGAAAUCUCAGUAUCUUCCGUCUUCAGAGAUCUCUUGCUUUCGCCACUUUUCUCUUCUAAAAAUCCAAUCGAGAAGCUUUCCAACUGCGAUUAUUCCUAUUGCAUGGCAGCCAAUUUGCAGAUGCGAGGAAUCGCGAGCUUUGGGAAGCGAUUCGUCGAACGAAGCUGGGUCGGUAGCUUCCGAGAUCCUGCUGCAGCUAAGAUUUCUGCUUUCAGGGGCCUAUUGUUACCACAAUCCGAGCUUUACUGACACCUCAUCCAACGAAGGAACUUCGAGUAAAGGAUUUCGAUGUUCGAGAGUUUGCUAUAUCAAUUGCUGGCAGAUUGUCUGAAUAGAAUCCAACAUAUGUUCUGCCUGCACUUCAUUGCCAUCUCAUACAAUUGUUGAUGCAUCUUGAGCAAAGGCACUUGUGGUAAAGGCACCGAGCCAAAUGCUAAUACUGGUGUUGUCACUGGAGUUCUUGCAACUGUUGGGGAGCUUGCUAGGGUGGGAGGUUUUAGAAUGAAGCAAUAUCUUGGUGAACUAAUGCCAGUAAUUGUUGAAGCCCUCUUGGAUGGAGCUGUUGUUAUAAAGCAUGAAGUGGCUGUCGCAACUCUUGGUUAAGUGGUACAGAG